UAGUUUCAUUGUUAUUGUUUACAGGAAGUAAAGCAGCCGAGAUGUUGAGUGAGGAGCUGGUGGCUCGUCUGAACGACGGUGGCUACAAAAACUGGCUGAAAGCUGGAAGAUGUCUGCUCAUCCUGAAGGGAGGUCUUCAUCCUGUCACCAGCAAGCACAUGAGAGCUUUCCACAGAGAUCUGCUCCUACACAACCCUGUGCUGCAGACACAGUGUCACACUGCUGCAUGUAGACCCAGAGGGAAUAAGUUUUCCAUGGCAUGCAGGGUGUGCACUGAGUGGCAGACAGUCAUCCUGAGACACCACAGACAACCAGGGGCUUCUGUCAACUGGGACAACUGUGUCCCUCCACAGUGGAGGACAGACUACUGGGAAGUGGCCAAGGCCUACAUGCCUCGAGGUCAGGGGAAAGUGAAGAGAGCGGAUCAGUGUGAUGCUUCUGCUCUGCUCAACCUCAUCAAUUUCUGCGACUGUUUCCAGUCUGUGGAAACAAAAUAUGUGAGAGAGGUGAUCCGGUACAGGAAUGAGUUAAUGCAUUCAUGUGAGCUGCAUGUGGAGGAUGAAUGGAUGAAACAUUACCGGAUGACUCUGAAACGCUUCAUACAGCAAUUCAGCCACGUGCCACAGAUGGAAAGAGUUGGACGAGACAUAGAUGAGAUGCUGACGGUUGAUUUGUCGGUAUGCGUCUCUGGCUUGGACAAAGUGGACUCUGUUACCGUGGACAAAACAGAGCUUCAUGCUUUCCACGAAGGGGCGAGCAGCACUGACUUAAUCGGCCAAUGGGAAGCUGAGUUGCUACGAGAAAAGCUACAGGAGUUGCUGCAUGAUGAUGACGACGAUGAUGAUGAUGAGAAUAUGAAGGCAAGGGACUCUGAGCCGCUGAAGAGGCUGAGUGGUUUCUUGCAGGCCAACAGCGACUUGGGUGCAAGGUUUUCUGCAGAGCUUCAGACCAUCAACUCCCUGCAGGACAGAAAAUAACAAAGACGAGGUGAAAGGAGGACAAGGAGCGUAUUGAACACUAUGAAAGCACCAUUUGUGCUCACCUACAGGCUCAUACACUCUGCUGACGGCUGGUUUCUCCAGAAUGCAGUAGUGGGGCUGCAGAGGUUCAGGACUCUGGAAACACUGAUCGAGAGCUACAGAGCAGGUUCUGACACCAGAAUGGUGCCUCUUACAGAGCCACAGCUACAGUCCAUCAGCUCUGGACAAGAGUUUGCCUACAUGGAAAUGAACAGCAGCAGCAGCAGCAGCAGCUCUGUUUGUUGAAGCUGUGGCACCAGACACACCUGAAGUUUGGUAAUCAGGUGGACAAACUGAAGACUGACAGAAACAUGGGGAACAUCACACGACAAGGAUCUGGAUUAUUAUGUUAUUAUUAUUAUGAUGAAUAUGUUAUUAUAUUAUUAUAUUAUAUUAUUAUAAAAAAAACUUUUGAAUCUUCUUGAAUGAUUUUUAAAAUCAAUCCAUAGUUGAGUCAUCUCAUGCAUUGACCUGAAUCAGCAUCAUCUUAUAUGUGGGUGCAUAUACUGAACUGUUCAGCCUUCUUUUUCAUCAUCAUCUUAUCCUAUCACUCACUCUUUACAUGCACCUUCAAGGGCCUUGUCAUCCACGAACACUCACAGCUCUUGUUUCCAAUUUAAUUUCACUUUAGGUUGUUUUUUGUUUUUUUUGAGUUUCUCAGAGAUCCUUCCUCUCAGCUGCUGAACCCUGAACAACAGUUACCUCACAUUGCACAUUUAAAUCCGAGCUUGUCAUUGUAAUUUCAGCUGAAUUUCCCGAGCAAUUUCAACACACUCUGAGUAAAAUGCUGUGCAAAGCACAGUUAACUGUGUGCUGUAGCUUUUCUUUUUUUUUGCUUUAAGGUCAAUCCUGAUUGCAUUCUUUCAUUAUAUUGUGAUCGAUUUCUUUUUUAAUGACUGUUCUGAUGCUCAUUUUCACAAUUUCAUAAACAUUUUAUCCAUACACUGUUUGCUUUUUGAUCUUUUAUGUUAUCUU